GCUCAGGAUGAACGCUAGCGGCAGGCCUAACACAUGCAAGUCGAGGGGCAGCAUAUCUAGCUUGCUAGAUGAUGGCGACCGGCGCACGGGUGCGGAACGCGUAUGGAACCUACCUUUGUCAGGGGAAUAGCCCAGAGAAAUUUGGAUUAAUGCCCCAUGGUAACAUUAUAUUGCAUGAUAUUUUGUUUAAAGAUUCAUCGGACAAAGAUGGCCAUGCGUACCAUUAGUUAGUUGGUAAGGUAACGGCUUACCAAGGCAGCGAUGGUUAGGGGCCCUGAGAGGGGGAUCCCCCACACUGGUACUGAGACACGGACCAGACUCCUACGGGAGGCAGCAGUGAGGAAUAUUGGACAAUGGAGGAGACUCUGAUCCAGCCAUGCCGCGUGCAGGAUGACGGCCCUAUGGGUUGUAAACUGCUUUUAUACGGGAAGAAACCUGUCCACGUGUGGACAGCUGACGGUACCGUAAGAAUAAGGACCGGCUAACUCCGUGCCAGCAGCCGCGGUAAUACGGAGGGUCCGAGCGUUAUCCGGAAUCAUUGGGUUUAAAGGGUCCGUAGGUGGGCCUGUAAGUCAGAGGUGAAAGUUUGUGGCUCAACCAUAAAAUUGCCUUUGAUACUGCAGGUCUUGAGUUAUAGUGGAGUUGCCGGAACAUGUGGUGUAGCGGUGAAAUGCAUAGAUAUCACAUAGAACACCGAUCGCGAAGGCAGGUGACUAACUAUAUACUGACACUGAUGGACGAAAGCGUGGGGAGCGAACGGGAUUAGAUACCCCGGUAGUCCACGCCGUAAACGAUGGAUACUAGCUGUCGGGUCUUCGGACUCGGCGGCCAAGCGAAAGUGAUGAGUAUCCCACCUGGGGAGUACGUUCGCAGAAUGAAACUCAAA
rnacentral:rRNA from 1 species